UACGAAGGGGGCUAGCGUUGCUCGGAAUCACUGGGCGUAAAGCGCACGUAGGCGGAUCUUUAAGUCAGGGGUGAAAUCCUGGAGCUCAACUCCAGAACUGCCUUUGAUACUGGGGAUCUCGAGUCCGGAAGAGGUGAGUGGAACUCCGAGUGUAGAGGUGAAAUUCGUAGAUAUUCGGAAGAACACCAGUGGCGAAGGCGGCUCACUGGUCCGGUACUGGACGCUGAGGUGCGAAAGCGUGGGGAGCAAACAGG
rnacentral:rRNA from 1 species